UUCCAGGGCUCGUCCAUCCCCAGCUCCAUGAAGAAGCUGGUGGUGACUAAGCUCAGCCCAAACUUCAGGGAAGCGGUUACCCUACAGCAGGACUCGCCCGUGCCGCUCCCGGGAGACGGAGACCUCCUGGUCAGAAACAGGUCUUGCAAAAAAAAAACCAAAACCAACAACUUUACAAACGGGCUGCACACAAGAAGCUUCUGUGGUUCUGCUUAGGGGAGUUUUCACUGGGAAGCUUCGCUAAAUCCUACAGCGUGCCAUAUUAACAAAUAAGGGCUGGAAAGAGCGUGAGUUCUUGGCACCUAUUCUGCAGGUGAGAAUUUUCUACUUGUCAGAUGCACUUAGCUCUCCUGGACUUACAGGGCUUUCUGAUGUCAUUUUGAAGCAAAAAUGUUACAUUCAAGCCUUCUGUCACAGGACAUGUAGUCUCAUUGCACCUGUACUCUUCAGCCAAGUUUAUCCUGUGAAGUGUCGAACAACCUCAUCUUUCUUCAGAACUGAAACUUAAGGACUCUGAAAACCUCAAGAAACAUCUCGGUUUACUGCAGGACCAGACAGCACAUCAUACAAACAUACCCUCUGGGCUUUCUGUUAGAGAAGGAGGAAGAAGUCUUUAUCUUUCAUCACAAGAGGGAGGUCAAAAGGACCGAGCGAGUGCCAGACCGAGUCACUUCUGCUGUUCUAGAGUUCAUUUGCAGAGGAGCGAGGCAGACACACAAAUCUCAUUAUGCAUUACGAGGAUCUGUGCACAGGCUUCUUGUGCGCUGUCUUAAAACUGAACCCCUAAGGGGCUAAUUCACAAAGGGAAUAGGAGGAAAGCAAAUUUGUAUGUUUUCUGGAAGCAGUAAGACAUGACAUGCAGCGCGGUUCUGGCUGAUUACAGCAUGCCUCAGGUGAGCUGGGAGGCACAAGGCUGUGAGCCAAGUGAUUUCAACCACCCAAAAAGACAACUCCACAGAAAUGCAUUGUGUGGGAUGUCUGAUCGCUACAAAAAAAACCACCCUGACUUCAUUCAUGUUGGCAUGACAUUAUUGGCAUGACUGUUUCUGGCAGCCUAUCAGAAAGUUUUAUUUGCAUCCAGAGUUUUGAAAGCCAUUUCAUAACGUUAAAUAAGGGUAAUGCUGCUAAUGUCUGGCUUAAUUGCCCCUUGACACCUAUGUGUAAUCUCUCAUUGAAGCCCUAAUGAAGGGUUCUUCUCAGGUUGUGUUAUUUUCGAAGUAACCCCUGCAUACAAGCAGCAUAAUGUACCUUUCCUCCCUGCAUAGGUGUGGCAAGAAUAGCCAGAAGGAAGUGGAUAAAGUAUGUUAUUUUUCCUGUAUUCUCAGUAAUCGAGAUGCAGAGUCAGUUAUUGGAUCAUUUGACUUCUUACUGAGCUGGGAAACCUCAAUCUGCUAUCACAAGUGCCUACAAAUAAGGGAGAUAUUGAGUCAGUUUCCUCUCCUGGGAAUGUAAAUGAGGAACAAGAAUAACGCACUUGAAUUCAGUGUAAAAACCGUCUUUGAGAAGAACCUGGCUCUUAUUUCCUUGUGUUUGUGUGUAUGUGUUCACGCUGCAGGAAAACAGUUCUAACACAGACCUGCCUAACCUGAAAUUGUAGUGAAAUUUCCCAGGGCCUCCAGAUAACUCCCAAAGUCUUGGGAAACUCAGUGUUUUCGCAGCCACCGCUGUUGUAAGAGCUCUGGUGGCAACAGCAGCAGCUUUGCAAGCUCCGAGCUCUCGGAUGACGAGUGGUGACAAAGCGAGCCCUGCUCAAGAGAAACUGCUACAAAGGCAGCCCUCCAGUUCUCAGGUGUCAUUCUCAGGAUGAAUUCAGGGGUGAGGGACAGCUUGUCAUCCCUCCUAGUGUAAAAAAACAGUUCUCCCCCACCUCAAAAAUCCUGAGUUACUUGAUAACUAUUCUUCCCUUCUCCUUCUUUCUCUCCACAUCCCUCCCUACUCCCAGAAAAAAAAAAAAAAAAAGUGAAAUAAUAAAGGGGGAGGCUGCUGGAAGUGUGGAAAUGUUUCAGGCUUUUCUCUCCCUUUGCACGGGGGAGUUCAGUUAUCCUUGUCUUGUAACGUGUCUAAACCUAACAAAGCACAUAAAAGUUUUGCCUAUAGGCUCUGCAACAAAAUUUGAGUAGAUUUAUGAUGAAUAUACAUAGUUUCUGUUUUGCCACAGAAAGAGACAUCACUUUUGUUUUUAAUAUACAAGGUCUUUUAUUCUGGUGAGAUGGGGAAGAAAAAACAAACCACCAAGGACUCUUUCCACUUGUAUGAUUUCAUUUGCAGUGUCUUUCAUUCUAUCUGUUAGUGCUACAGUUUAAUGUAAUGAACCUACUUUUAUUGCAUUUCUUCCUUUCCUGUUUGCAAAAAUCUGACAUGUUCAACAGUCACAAAAUACAUGUCAUGGUGCAAACAGUAAGAAGCCAAAUAUUCUUUCUUUCCCACAAAGCUGAAAUUGUAGUGGUACAAAACAGUCCAGCAGUGGUUCUGGUAUGAACCAGAGUACUGUAAGGUGAAUGGAGGGCUGUGGAUAAAACAUGUUGUAGAGAAAAAGGUUGUAACAAGCAGGGGCAAAAAGGGACAUUGGUGGUGGCAUUGUUUUCAGGUGACUGGGUUUGUGCUUCCCCUUGGAUGAGUUUAACAAGCAGCAACAGGCAUUUUCUUCCUGUGCAAAUCAGAGGCGGUCCUAAAUCUAGCAGCAGUACUUCACAAAUACAUUGCAAUGAGAACUAAUGCCAGUGCCCCUGAUUUCUGCAGUCUUUUCUUCUGCCUUCUUGGCCUUAUGUCACAUUUUCAACUAAUUACAAACGCAAAGUGAAGACAAUUAUUUCUUUGCUUCCAGAAAUAUAUUCAGGACUUUACCAUGUCUGCUACAUACAAGUGGCAGUAGUACCUCUUAAAACUUUCAGUAAACAAAAUGCUAACAAUGCCUUAGUGAUGAAUGGAGGGGAAUGAACAGUUAUUCAGGCUUAGAUUUAAUUGGGACGUCCCAGCAAAUUUUUUGCCGGAGUACAACUGACAUUCACGCUUACCCAAACCAUGGAAAACUUUCUUGGUCCUUGAAAGUUAGCCAUGCUGUGCUGGAGGGACUACAGAGAAUAGCACUUUUCCAGCGCUUUCCUCUCUAUCACACAGCAAGUGGAAAGGUUGAGCGGACCCCAGUUCUGACACUUCUACAUCAAGCGACAUGCAUGAAGGCCUGAAUGAUUUUAAGGAAACCACACAAGCAUUUUUACACUAAGAACCUGUCUCACUCCAAGAAGAUACAGUCUCAGAGUGCUGUGAGCAAAUUAGCCUUUUUGCUCAACUCUGUAUAAAAAACCCAAACCAAAACCACAACCCUGAACACUCGGUCUUAUCCCCUGCCCCAGGGCUGUCCCAGUUCUCUGCCUGGCAGGCUGUCUUUACUCUGAAGCACACCAGCUCUCCGUAUCUUGUAUAUUUUAAUAUCGACACUGAUCUUCAAUCAGCAUUGCCCUGGCCUUCCAGUGAAAAUAUGCCAAAAUGUCACAGGUUUCCAAAUGAAAUGCAAAUACUGAACUUUCUGAAAUUUACUGAUAGUAUUUUACUCCGUAGCAGCAUCCGAGUUGUACCAGCGAGACACAACAGAAACAAGGGUUUUUGAUUCCUGACAGCAAAGGUAAAGCUCCCUGCACUUGCCACUCCAGAGGUGUCUCAGCUGGAUCGUGUGUAGCACCUCUGGACAAGAAUACGAGUCCUCUGCUUGCUCACUCGCUCAGCAUAAUGAAAAGAAGCGAUGAAAUACUCAAAGUCAGGUCAGCCUACGUCUUGUCGUACAUAACUGUUAUUACACAGAUGUCACAGCAGCAGAUACAAAAUAAAUACCUGGAUAAUGGAAACCAUUUGCUUUGCCUUUAGCCACAGGCAUCAGGUCUGAUUUACUGGUGGCUGGCAGCUAGAGACCAUAGGAGAGCCAGGUCCCUAUAGCCAGCCUCACCUUUACACACUCAGAGAAGGGAAAAGAGCCACAGUGGAAGCUGCUCUGGAGGAGAGUUUCUUGUUUUUCUCCCAUGCCCUCUUCCCCAUGCUCCCUACUGUUCUGCCAGGGCAGGGAGAUUUAGCAGAGCCAUGAAUCUACGCUUACGUGCUGCCCUUUCAUCAUUCGGACCUCGGGUGGAUGUACACAAUCUGGAGCAGUCUUUGCUCAAGGCAAACAAAGUAAAGGAGGAGAGUGACAUUUCAGUCUUUCAUUGUAGAGUCAUUCAGGUCACUCGCUGAAAUUAUAGACACCAGCUCCAGCAAUGUUAACAGCCAACUUUAGAUUAUUAACCACUCUUUGGACAGGAGUACAUUUACGGUGCCAGUGCGCAGAGAAUUCCUCCAAAUUACAGGGUGUCCUAACAUAGCCGGUCAAACCACACGGACCUCUAGAUGCAGUAAGCAGUGUAAUUAAGUCUGUUUUCUCAUUUGUACUUUCCCAGCAGCACUCAAAAUACACUCUCGACCACUGGAUGCUGCUCAUUGCAUCAGGCUGUGAAAGGAGAUAAGAGCGAAGGGUGCCUUAACAAUAGCUCAUUAAGGAAACCUCAAACAUUUUCUUAUAUUGCAUUAUUUAUAUUUUGGGUGAUAAUAAAACACUGUUUCCAAGGCAAAGUGCAUUCAAGAAGCUUAUUGGCCUGUAGGUGGUUUCAUUUGAUUAGAUUUCAAAAGCGAAGGCUACAGAAAUUUCUUUUAUCUGCUGCUGUCCUGAAAGACCUGGUUUUUUUUUCUACAUCUCGUCAGGCCAUACAUUGUCAAUACCACUGAGAUCCACCAAACUUCAUUAGCCCUUUCAAAUAUUUCUGGGAAAGGCAGUGACCGUGUUUUUCCCCUAAGGCUCUAGAAAUUUGUCUUCACUGCAACAAUCACUGGCAUCUUUGGUAGGAUCCAUUUUUUAAUAUAAUGACCUUCUGCAUACAAGCAAACACGAAGAGCACCUAAACAUUUAGAUUCCUGUGAAAAGAUCAUAAAGCUGAUUUUACACAAAAGAGUCCCUAUGAAAAAAACACAACAAAAAAUAAUAAUACAAACAAAAAAAUAAUAAUACAGGUAAUGGUCAUGAAUGCCUAUUCUCAUUCCUUAAAUUGUAUUGUAUAGUUAGUCGAGCACUGCAUUAAUUACAGUCUUUCCUCAUAUUCUUUCUUUAUUCUCCUACAGAGCCAUUCUCACUGUGUAACUCUGCUGCAGUACAUUUUGUUACCUAGGUACAGAUCCAAGAAUAAAUUUUGGCCCUGAUCAUGGAAUAUUCACUCACUUUCAAAUAUGGAUGUGACCUGCCUUCUCCUUCUGCGACUAACAGGGUGACCAGAGGCAGUGGAAUGUACACCAGGAUUAGAAAGAAUAAAACCAGAGGGAAAGCAAGCUGUCAAGAGAACAGUGUACUGAAGAGGAAAAAUGUAAACAUGACUUCUAUUUACCAAGAUUAAUAUGUAAAGUUAACAUGUUUGUCAUGGAGUACAUUAAUAUGUAUAUUUUCCCACUAUGUAGAUCUUUUCUUAUAUUACUUAUUAGAAAGAGAUAUAAUCACAAUGAUGGGGCAAGAAUGUCACUUAAAAAUUAGGUGAUGGCCAGUCAACAUAAUAUAACCACUAUGGUGUCAUUUCUGAUUUAGAUGUGGUGAUAUCAGUGUAAUUGCUGCUGGGAAGAAAUUAUAAUGGCUGCUAAUGAUAAAUAAAAUGACAAGAAGGAGGGUCCUCCUUCACAUAUGAUUCCAAGCAAAAUUCAACUGCUGAAUUCCUUAAGCAACUCAGUGCCGUUCAUUGAUGAAGAGGAAAUAAGCAGGUUUUGUGGAGCUGUGCGGCCGUAAGAACUGCACUGUCAUUUCCCAAGCCCAAGCAUGGACACCACAGGUCUAACAAGAUUUCACCACACUUUUUCCACUCAGGGGACAUGUAGUAAUGAAGCUCACAUGAAGUGAAUCUUAAUACAAAGUUAAAAUUAUUCUAACAGAAAGCCCUAUAGCUGGCAAACACAAAGAUAAGCAAAAAUUAGGUAAAGGCAAACGUAUAAUCAUGUGUGUGGAUACUUUUCAAAGCCCCCAAAUACUCCAGUCUUGUUUCUGUAAACACAGGCAGCCAUAACCCAGAGAUCAAAAGACCUUCCUACAUUUGUUUUAUAUCAUAAAUGUGUCAAGAAUGAGCUACACGAAGCAUCGUUCACCCGCUACACAUGGCUUGUUAACCUAGCUGAGAGCAUCUUUAAACUCAUUCACACACUAAAAGCCAGGAAACCAACAUUUGAUUACUAGUUCUAGCAUCAAGAUCAAAGACCACAUCUUCCCAUCUGUGAAGAGCAUGAGCCAAAUUCUUUUCUCCUCUCUCUGCAGUCGCAAAGGAAUCGAAGAACUUGGUCAACAUUAUAUUCCACAUCCUGUGAAUAACACAGCUCCAGUCUAUAAAAGCACAAAACCCAA